UGUGCGUGAAAGCCUCGUGCUCAACGCGAGGAAGCCGGACAAUACUGUCAAGCUAGAGGGCAUCAGAGGGGAAUGGAAUUCCCGGACUAGCGGUAAAAUGCGCAGAUAUCGGGAGGAACACCGAUGGCGAAGGCAGCUCCCUGGAAUGCACCUGACGCUAAGAGCCGAAAGCUAGGGGAGCGAACAGGAUUAGAGACCCUGGUAGUCCUAGCUGUAAACGUUGGGUGCUAGCUGUGGGACGUAGAAGUUCCGUGCCGGAGCAAACGCGAUAAGCACCCCGCCUGGGAAUUACGGUCGCAAGGCUAAAACUCAAACGAAUUGACGGGGCCCCGCACAAGCAGUGGAGCGUGUGGUUCAAUUCGAUGGUACACGAAGAACCUUACCUGGCUUUGACAUGUACGUGGUACGAAGGCGAAAGCAUAAGGACCCUUCGGGGAGCGUACACAGGUGCUGCAUGGCUGUCGUCAGCUCGUACCAUGAGGUGUCGGGUUAAGUCCCGUAACGUGCGCAACCCUGGCCGAUUAGUUACAAGUGUCUAAGGGGACUGCUCUGGCGGGAAGACUCGGAGGAAGAUGGGGAUGACGUCAAGUCAGCAUGGCCCUUAUGUCCAGGGCUACACACACGCUACAAUGGUCAGUACAAAGGGUAGCGAAGUCGCGAGGCGGAGCGAAUCUCGACACAGCUGAUCGUAGUUCGGAUUGCAGGUUGCAACCCGCUGUGCAGGAAGCUGGAGUUGUUAGUAACCGCGCGUCAGCCAUAGUGCGGUGAUACGUACCCGGGGCUUGUACACACCACCCGUCUACGUAAUGGGAGUCGGUUACGCCUGAAGCCGGUAGUC
rnacentral:rRNA from 1 species